rnacentral:rRNA from 1 species
CGGCGGACGGGUGGGUAACGCGUGGGUAACCGUGCCUCAUACAGGGGGAUAACAGUUGGAGACGGCUGCUAAUACCGCAUAAGCGCACAGUACCGCAUGGUACCGUGUGAAAAACUCCGGUGGUAUGAGAUGGACCCGCGUCUGAUUAGCUAGUUGGUGGGGUAACGGCCUACCAAGGCGACGAUCAGUAGCCGACCUGAGAGGGUGACCGGCCACAUUGGGACUGAGACACGGCCCAA